rnacentral:rRNA from 1 species
GACGAACGCUGGCGGCGUGCUUAACACAUGCAAGUCGAACGGAGUUACGUUUUCGGAUGUAACUUAGUGGCGAACGGGUGAGUAACGCGUGAGGAACCUGCCUUUCAGUGGGGGACGAACAGUUGGAAACGACUGCUAAUACCGCAUGACACUACCGAGUGGCAUCACUUGGCAGUCAAAGAUUUAUUGCUGAAAGAUGGCCUCGCGUCUGAUUAGCUGGUUGGUGGGGUAACGGCCUACCAAGGCGACGAUCAGUAGCCGACCUGAGAGGGUGACCGGCCACAUUGGGACUGAGACACGGCCCAAACUCCUACGGGAGGCAGCAGUGGGGAAUAUUGCACAAUAGGCGGAAAGACCUGAUGCAGCGACGCCGCGUGAACGAAG